rnacentral:rRNA from 1 species
UAAAACGCCCGUAGUUGGAUCAGCGGAUUUGGAGAACGGUCUGCCGAUGGGCUGUACUGUUCUCCUGUCCUAUUUUCUCUAGUUCGCUCUAGGUGCUCUUCACUGAGUGUCUAGAGUGGCUGGAACUUUUACUUUGAAAAAAUUAGAGUGCUCAAAGCAGGCGUCUCAGCCUGAAUAGUGGUGCAUGGAAUAAUGGAAUAGGACCUCAGUUCUAUUUUGUUGGUUUUCGGAACAUGAGGUAAUGAUUAAGAGGGACAGACGGGGGCAUUCGUAUUGCGACGUUAGAGGUGAAAUUCUUGGAUCGUCGCAAGACGAACUACUGCGAAAGCAUUUGCCAAGAAUGUUUUCAUUAAUCAAGGACGAUAGUUAGAGGUUCGAAGGCGAUCAGAUACCGCCCUAGUUCUAACCGUAAACGAUGUCAACCAGCGAUCCGCAGGAGUUAUUCAUGACUCUGCGGGCAGCUUCCGGGAAACCAAAGUUUUUGGAUUCCGGGGGGAGUAUGGUUGCAGAGCUGAAACUUAAAGGAAUUGACGGAAGGGCACCACCAGGAGUGGAGCUGCGGCUUAAUUUGACUCAACGCGGGGAAACUCACCCGGCCCGGACACCGUAAGGAUUGACAGAUUGAGAGCUCUUUCUUGAUUCGGUGGGUGGUGGUGCAUGGCCGUUCUUAGUUGGUGGAGCGAUUUGUCUGGUUAAUUCCGAUAACGAACGAGACUCUAGCCUACUAAAUAGAAGGCAAAUUAUUCGUUUGCUGUACUUCUUAGAGG